rnacentral:rRNA from 1 species
UCAGUUGUCUUAUAAUUGAAGACUGGAAUGAAUGGUUAAACGAAAUUAGAGCUGUUUCAUUUGUAUUUAUUAGAAAUUGGCUUUUAAAUGAAGAGAUUUAAAUUUGAUUAAGGGACAAGAAGACCCUAUUGAGCUUUAAAUAAUUUUGAGGGUUAAAGUUAUUAUAAAGAUCUAUGAUCUUUAGUAUUUUUUUAGUUGGGGCGACUAAGGAACAGGAGAAGCUUCCUUUAUUUGUUUAAUUGAUAAAUUUUGAUCCUGUAUUACUGAUUAAGAGAGAUAGUUACCAUAGGGAUAACAGCAUAAUCUUCUUGGAGAGUUCUUAUUAAAAAGGGGGGUUGUGACCUCGAUGUUGGACUAAAAUAUCCUAAGGGUGUA